rnacentral:rRNA from 1 species
UAAACUAGGAUUAGAUACCCUAUUAUUAAAAAAUUAAAGAAAUAAUACUAAAAGAGUAAGUAAAAUUUUAUUGAAACUUAAAUAACUUGGCGGUAUUUUAGUUCAUUCAGAGGAAUCUGUUUAUUAAUUGAUAAUCCACGAAUAAAUUUACUUAAUUUAUUAUUUUGUAUAUCGUUGUUUAAAAAAUAUUUUUUAAUAAUUAAUAAUAUUUUAAAUUUUAAAUAAAAAAUUAAAUCAGAUCAAGAUGCAGAUUAUAAUUAAGAAUAUAAUGGAUUACAAUAAAUUUAUUUAUUAUGAAUUUUAAGUAGAAUAAUUUAAUUGAAAGUGGAUUUGAAUGUAAUUUUAUUUAAAUUAAUAAGAUGAUUUAUAAUUAAAAUAUGUACAUAU